rnacentral:lncRNA from 1 species
UUACAAAAGCCAAGAGAUCGGGAACGCGGGAUCUUCCACCUUCCUAUGAUGACUAAGCAUUGGCUGUACUAAAAAUACGUAUUUUGUACACGAUACAUUCAAAUACAUAUUGGUUCAAUGUACUAGAUCUAUGUGCGGGCUUGCCAACGACGCACUGGUGCAGUAUCCCACAAUGUGUGGCACGCGAGGCAUUGGAUGUCAUCGAAGAAUUUUCCCCAGUUGCAAAAAUCUUUCCACCCUCGGCAUCGGAUGUCAUCGAAGAAUUUUCCCCAAUUGCAAAUUUUUUUCCACCCUCGGCAUUACUGGCUCCGAAGUGACCAGUUCCCCGCAGGCCAAUCAUUGGCGGAACUCCUCACGAAAGGAUCUAGUCUGUGGGAGAAAACGGCUCUUCAACCACGCCCCAGUUGCGCUCUCACAGG